GGGGAUUUAGCUUAGUGGUAGAGCACUUGCCUAGCAAGCACAAGGCCCUGGGUUCGGUCCCCAGCUCUG
rnacentral:tRNA from 1 species